GAUGAACGCUGGCGGCGUGCCUAAUACAUGCAAGUCGAGCGAACAGACGAGGAGCUUGCUCCUCUGACGUUAGCGGCGGACGGGUGAGUAACACGUGGAUAACCUACCUAUAAGACUGGGAUAACUUCGGGAAACCGGAGCUAAUACCGGAUAAUAUAUUGAACCGCAUGGUUCAAUAGUGAAAGACGGUUUUGCUGUCACUUAUAGAUGGAUCCGCGCCGCAUUAGCUAGUUGGUAAGGUAACAGCUUACCAAGGCAACGAUGCGUAGCCGACCUGAGAGGGUGAUCGGCCACACUGGAACUGAGACACGGUCCAGACUCCUACGGGAGGCAGCAGUAGGGAAUCUUCCGCAAUGGGCGAAAGCCUGACGGAGCAACGCCGCGUGAGUGAUGAAGGUCUUCGGAUCGUAAAGCUCUGUUAUUAGGGAGGAAGAAAUGUGAAAGUAACUAUGCACGUCUUGACGGUACCUAAUCAGAAAGCCACGGCUAGCUACGUG
rnacentral:rRNA from 1 species